CAGACAAAGCUCUCUAGGAGUUAUUCCAAAAGGAACAUAAAAUCCUAAGAUGAGAUCAAUGGAAGAGACAGGAAUGGGGCAGAUGCUCCCCAAGUUACACUUCAAUGAAACAAAAGAUCUAGAGAGGCCACCAGAAGAAGACUGAAGUGGCUUUCAAUUAAAGUCAUUAGGAGUUCAGGAAAAGCAACCUUUCUGGAUGUCAAAGUUCCACCGUCUCAAGUUUUGAGUUCAGCAAUGCAGAACAGUAUUGUGCCAAGUGGUACUGAGGCAUUUCACUUACCAGAAUAUUCCUUUUUCCUCAUUUAUCUCCUGCUUUCUCUUCAUGCUCUCCAUCCAUUCCCACCACAGAGAAGAUACAUAGAAAGUUUUUAGUAACUUUUGUAAAAGAAUGAAUUAAUAAAUAUAUUUACAUGUCCAGCAGAAAUCCCACUACCUUCUGGAGUCUCAUCUGCCAGCAUCAUAAAUAACAGACAAGGGAUGCCUGGGUGGCUCAGUCGUUAAGCAUCUGCCUUUGGCUCAGAGCAAGCGCCCAGGCUUCACCAUCAAGGAGCUUGGAAGUGGGAAGCAGCACAAAAUGAGGAGUAAACCAGGUGGACAAGAUGAGCACAGUGAUGAGAGCCCAUGAGCAGAGAAGACAAGCCAGCAGGAUAGAUUGGAGGUUAGUACAACAGCCCAGGUCUCCCGCACCCAUUUCUGAAUUUAACCUAUAUAAGUGAAG